rnacentral:snRNA from 1 species
GCGCUUACUUCGGCAGCACACACACUAAAAUUGGAACGAUACAGAGAAGAUUAGCAUGGCCCCUGCGCAAGGAUGACACGCAAUUUUUUUUUUAAUUUAACAUAACU